rnacentral:rRNA from 1 species
UACGAAGGGGGCUAGCGUUGUUCGGAAUCACUGGGCGUAAAGCGCACGUAGGCGGAUUGUUAAGUCGGGGGUGAAAUCCUGAGGCUCAACCUCAGAACUGCCUCCAAUACUGGCAAUCUCGAGUUCGGAAGAGGUUGGUGGAACAGCUAGUGUAGAGGUGAAAUUCGUAGAUAUUAGCUAGAACACCAGUGGCGAAGGCGGCCAACUGGUCCGACACUGACGCUGAGGUGCGAAAGCGUGGGGAGCAAACAGGGAUUAA